AGCUGUGAUCCGGGGGUGUCCGAAUGGGGAAACCUGGAAUGUCCGGAGUAGUGUCCGGUGGCCCUGCCCUGAAUGUAUAGGGGUGUGGGUGGUAACGCGGGGAAGUGAAACAUCUUAGUACCCGUAGGAAGAGAAAACAAGUGUGAUUCCGUGAGUAGUGGCGAGCGAAAGCGGAGGAGGCUAAACCGUGUGUGUGUUCAAGCCGGCAGGUGUUGCAUGUGCGGGGUUGUGGGGGCCUUGU
rnacentral:rRNA from 1 species